UACGGAGGGUGCAAACGUUGCUCGGAAUCAUUGGGCGUAAAGCGCACGUAGGCGGUCGGCUAUGUCGGAUGUGAAAGCCUCGGGCUUAACCCGAGAAGGGCAUCCGAAACUGGCCGGCUUGAGUACGGAAGAGGGUCUCGGAAUUCCCGGUGUAGAGGUGAAAUUCGUAGAUAUUCGCAAGAACACCAGUGGCGAAGGCGGCUCACUGGCCCGAUACUGACGCUGAGGCACGAAAGCGUGGGGAGCAAACAGG
rnacentral:rRNA from 1 species